rnacentral:rRNA from 1 species
GAUGAACGCUGGCGGCGUGCCUAACACAUGCAAGUCGAACGAACAGACGAGUAGCUUUUUCUUCUGAGGUUAUCGGCGGACGGGUGAGUAACACCUCGAUAACCUACUUCUCUUUCUUUGUUGAUUACGUCAAACCAGUGCUACUACUACCUAAUAUCUUGAACCUGUUGCUUCAAUGGUGAUAGACAGUUUUUCUGUCACUUUUAGAUGGUUUCGCGCCGCAUUAGCUAGUUGGUAAGGUAACGGCCUACCAAGGCAACGAUGCGUAGCCGACCUGAGAGGAUGAUCGGCCACACUGGAACUGAGACACGGUCCAGACUCCUACGGGAGGCAGCAGUAGGGAAUAUUCCGCAAUGGGCGAAAGCCUGACGGAGCAACGCCGCGUGAGUGAUGAAGGUCUUCGGAUCGUAAAGCUCUGUUAUUGGGAAAGAACAAAUGUGGAAGUAACUAUGGAUGUCUUGACGGUACCUAAACAAAAAGCAACGGCUAACUACGUG